UUUUCCAUUUCGACGCCAUACCAGAUGCACCUGCUCCAGUGGCAAUCGCAGCACCAGUACCAGCAUCUAUACCAGUACAAGUACAAGCACCAGAACCAGCACCAAUUCUAGCCUAAGUUCCAGCACCAGUACGAGUUCAAAUUCCACUGCCAAUACUAGCCCCAGUUCCAGUUCCAGAUGUAGUACCACCACUUGUGCCUAAUGUGUGACAAGUUCCACACACUGUAACUGUCCGGUAUAAUGACAGAGAUCCGCCUCCACUACAUUAUUUUACACCCAGAAGACUGACAACUUCCAGCACAGAGGAGACGGAUUUGAAUUAUUUGCACAUGCUUCAUGUGUAAGUAGUUUCGAGAAGCCUGUUGAUGAAUUAGGCCACCCCAGGAUGCGGACUCACCGUAUGAGCUACUGCAUGAAAUGACACCUAUUGACCUCUCACUAUAGGGAGUCGGAAUAAAAUUAUUUGCACUUGCUAAAUAUGUAAAUAAUAUCCAGAUGAAUUGUGAUGAACUAUAGGACCACAGAAUUCAGUCCCACUUACUAGUUACUCAAUCAUGUUACAGUGAACUUUUUACCUUUAAAACGUAAAACACAUUUAAUUUAAAGAUUUUGAUGACGGAUUUCGAAGAUAUUGUUUGGUUGUAAGAUCAAAUCAAAUUUACUUGAAAGACGACAACGUGUUUCUAAACUACAUAUUUCGAAUUAGGAUUAAUUGAAUUAACCAUAACUCUUGCCUAUAAUUGGACAGGGUGACAUGCUAUAAGGUGACGUAAUCUUAGCAACAUAAUUGUUAUUUUCUUUUAUUUGACAAACAAACUUCCUUCGUUUCUAUUGAAACAUGAAAGCUUGCAAAACGUCACUCAAUCCAAUACUCACUCCCAAAUGUCCGUUUAUUUUUGUAAUUACUAAUUAAUUAAAAUUUUAUUUAUGUAUAUA